rnacentral:sRNA from 1 species
ACAACCAAACAAACACACAAACAGACCGUGACGCAUCCAACCCACACACAGACAACCCAAUAAACACACAAACAAACACACAAACAAACCGCAGGCCAUAACCAGCAGAAAAUACAAGGGUGGAGGUAAGGACACUGACACACCCAACCCAAAUACAGAGGAUUUCAGACGAUUUCAAAUGGCAAUUUAAAAAAGUUCGAAAUCUUACUUUUUAAUUGAUAUUGUAAAUAAGUUAAUACAGUAUUAGCCUAUGUCUUUGUAAAUGGAACACUCGGUCAGUUAGAAGGAUCAUAUCGUAAUUAUUUCUGAUGUAUAUAGAUAUGUUGAAUUGAUAAUUAUAUUAUCGGUAUGUCAAAUAAAGUCAAAGCCCUAGCACCUUGAUGAUCU